CAGCCCAGAAGAAGUCUACUGCCACCUCUGUCUCUGCACAGCCCCAGGAUGAGGAUGAAGAUGUUUUUGCAACAGUUGAUUCCAGCAGAACUCCAUCCUGUACAGGAAGAAUCUUUGAAUUAAGGACAACACAUUUCUCAAACAUUGAAUAAUUCAAAUAGAUGCAAUUAUGUUUAUAAUCUACAGAUGAUAGUUCUUCUGUCUCAACUCCGUAUACCCCAUGUGAGAGAAGACGGACUUAUCCUGUGACUAAUCUCAAUGCAAAC